AGAGUUUGAUCCUGGCUCAGGAUAAACGCUGGCGGCGCACAUAAGACAUGCAAGUCGAACGGACUUAACCAUUAGUUUACUAUUGGAGCGGUUAGUGGCGGACUGGUGAGUAACACGUAAGCAACCUGCCUAUCAGAGGGGAACAACAGUUAGAAAUGACUGCUAAUACCGCAUAUGCCUUGAGUAUCACAUGGUACAAAAGGGAAAGGAGCAAUCCGCUGAUAGAUGGGCUUGCGUCUGAUUAGAUAGUUGGUGAGGUAACGGCCCACCAAGUCGACGAUCAGUAGCCGGACUGAGAGGUUGAACGGCCACAUUGGGACUGAGAUACGGCCCAGACUCCUACGGGAGGCAGCAGUCGGGAAUAUUGCGCAAUGGAGGAAACUCUGACGCAGUGACGCCGCGUGCAGGAAGAAGGUUUUCGGAUUGUAAACUGCUUUAGACAGGGAAGAAAUAAGACAGUACCUGUAGAAUAAGCUCCGGCUAACUACGUGCCAGCAGCCGCGGUAAUACGUAGGGAGCGAGCGUUAUCCGGAUUUAUUGGGUGUAAAGGGUGCGUAGACGGGAAGUCAAGUUAGUUGUGAAAUCCCUCGGCUUAACUGAGGAACUGCAACUAAAACUGAUUUUCUUGAGUACUGGAGAGGAAAGUGGAAUUCCUAGUGUAGCGGUGAAAUGCGUAGAUAUUAGGAGGAACACCAGUGGCGAAGGCGGCCAACUGGGCUUUUACUGACGCUGAGGCUCGAAAGUGUGGGGAGCAAACAGGAUUAGAUACCCUGGUAGUCCACACCGUAAACGAUGGAUACUAGGUGUAGGGGAUAAUAAAUUCUCUGUGCCGUCGCAAACGCAAUAAGUAUCCCACCUGGGGAGUACGGCCGCAAGGUUGAAACUCAAAGGAAUUGACGGGGGCCCGCACAAGCAGUGGAGUAUGUGGUUUAAUUCGACGCAACGCGAAGAACCUUACCA
rnacentral:rRNA from 1 species